rnacentral:rRNA from 1 species
CAAUAGCGUAUAUUAAAGUUGUUGCAGUUAAAAAGCUCGUAGUUGGAUUUCUGGUGAGAUGGAUUAUGUCUAGGUCGAGAGAUCUUGUUCAUGGUUCGUUUUGCCCUUCUUGUCAGGAACCCGCUGAGAUUCGCGUCUUGUCGGUGGAAUGGCAUCGUUUACUGUGAAAAAAUUAGAGUGUUCAAAGCAGGCAUCGCCGUUGAAUACAUUAGCAUGGAAUAAUAAGAUAAGACUUUGGUGGUCUAUUUUGUUGGUUUGCACGCCAAGGUAAUGAUUAAUAGGGAUAGUUGGGGGUAUUCGUAUUCUAUUGCUAGAGGUGAAAUUCUUAAAUUUAUGGAGGACGAACUACUGCGAAAGCAUUUACCAAGGAUGUUUUCAUUAA